rnacentral:rRNA from 1 species
UACGUAGGGUGCGAGCGUUAAUCGGAAUUACUGGGCGUAAAGCGUGCGCAGGCGGUAAGUUAAGUCUGAUGUGAAAGCCCCGGGCUCAACCUGGGAAUGGCAUUGGAAACUGGCUUGCUGGAGUGUGGCAGAGGGGGGUGGAAUUCCGCGUGUAGCAGUGAAAUGCGUAGAGAUGUGGAGGAACACCGAUGGCGAAGGCAGCCCCCUGGGUCAAGAUUGACGCUCAUGCACGAAAGCGUGGGGAGCAAACAGG